rnacentral:tRNA from 1 species
GGAGAGGUGGUAGAGUCUGGCUGAUUACAUCUGUCUUGAAAACAGAAGCUCCUUAAUCGGGGUCGCGAGUUCGAAUCUCGCUCUCUCCUCCA